UGCUGUUGCCCAUAAUGAUUUUAUAAACAUUUUGCCAGCAGAUCAAUACCUGUAUUGAUCAGGCAUUGUGAGAGUGAUCCGUCUAAAACCCAGAACAGCCUAGAGCUCAGAGGUGGGAGGAGCAAAAGAGAGAGGCUGCAUAGAGGAUGGCGAAGGAGAGCGAGUCUGCAACCACAGUGAAAAGGAAAAGAGGUGCAAGGUUGGAAGAGACUGAGGGAGAGGCGGACACAGAGACGGAAGCAGGUGAGGAUGCAGAUUUCGGGAAAUGCUGCCAGGCCGUUGGGACUGAGGAAAACAAAUGAAAGAAACUCUUAAAGGAGAGAUGGAGGAGACUGAGAGCACACUGCUGCUCUGAAUCUAAUUGCUGCAAAAUGAUCAAAACUUACAUUUCCUGAAACGUCCUUAACAUUCAGGAGAGGAAUAAUUCCACAUCACCAUUAUGGAAGAAGAACUGCAAAAGCAUAUUAAAUGUAAAGGCAAUACCAAAAGACAAACAUGGCAGCAUGAAGACCAUCUUCAACGUACAGGAUUGCUGCCGCUUUGUAAACACGUGGAUGGCUGGCUUUUUGGAAUACUUUUUUACUGUCUGGGAAUUCACUAAAUUGGAUGAUUGCUUUACAUUUAAAACACAAGUAGGAGAUUUACUGAAGCGAUGACUCACUGGAUGACUCAACACAAGUUCAAGGCCACAAUCUGCCCUGCGCUGGAGGACAAGUCAAGCGCUUUUGCUGUCAUUCCCUCGUGCUGUGGGGAAAUCAAGCUUCAUUGAUUGGUUUUUAAAUAAGAUGUGUUGUGCAUAAAUGAGGAUCUGAAGGAAGAUGAAUUCCUCAAACGAACUGUGGGGGAAGACCUUGAUGCUCAUGAACUCGUGUGCUCUGGAGACUAGUGUGGAAAGCACUCAAUGAAAAAGGCCUGAUGGCUCAUGCCUCUUUGACCAAGCUAAAAAAAAAAGAAGAAUUUAGGCUUUUCAAGGCUUAUUAAGGGCAAGAGACGCUUGUAAACAAUUUUCCUAAUGAAUUAACAAAAAAACACUGAGCAAAAAUUUCAUCAGCUGACCUUUUGUGUAGCUUCUCACCUUCCAAACAAAGCAUGUUACUGGGAUUUUAUGUAAUAGACCAAUACAAAUGACGCAUUAUUGUGAGCCAAAAGGGAAAGGAUAGAAAGACUUAAAAACACUUCACAAAUAAAACCUGAGAACUAUGGUGUGUAUUUGAAUUCAGCUUAUGCUUUUCAAUAAUUGUAAAACAGCCCUCUACAGCCAGAGGAUUGGUUAUGAUUAAGCUAAAUGUGCCCUAGUCAAAAUCCUAUAAUCCAAGUGAGAUGCUAAGUAUAAAAGUUGCUAUACAUACAGCUUAGAUUAGACUUAAUUUGCUAAACGAACACACCAGAAAAACCUUGCAACUGUAUUUGCAGUAAGUUUAGGUUAUUGUUCUGCUAUAAAGUGAAUAUACACAAAGGUUUCAGGUCUUUUGCAGCCACUAAAGAGAUUUCCUUCCAGAACUACUUAGCUCUAUCGAUCAACCCUUUAACUCUCAUUAGCUUGUGAAGUAAAGCAUACCCACAGCAUUAUGCUGCUAUGAACAUGUUUUACAAUACUACCCUAACCCCCCCGAAGCAAUUUGCAUUGCCUUCUUCAAGGCUUGUGGCAAUCAGUAACAAUCCUCCCAUUAACAAUUGCUUACUUUCUGCCACUCUUUCAUAAAGACCAGACUUGCAGAGUGCACAAAGAACAAUAGUCCUGGCUAUUAUUCUGAGUAGUAGAUGUCUGCAACUACUCCAAAGUUACCAUGAGUCUCUUGGAUGCUUCUCUGAAUAAUGCUCUCUGUCAUUGGUGGAUGGGUUCCAACGAUACGUGUGGUAUAACAUUGCCAAUUGAAAAGAGUAUACGUGGUGAUUUCUGAAGGAAUAUGGAGCCGAUUUGUAUUAAUUGCAUCAGAGUAAAAAGAACCGAACAGAAUGUUUUCUAUACUUUUAGUUACUUUUUUUUUUUUUUUUUUCACGAAAACACCUUCCUUCUACUUCAGCACUAUUUUGUUUUGGGUUAUCACACAGUAAACUAAGGUCUGUGGUUGUAAUGAGGCAAAAUGUGAAAAUGCAAGAGCAUUAAUAAGUUUGGAAGGCAUUUCACUUUCUCAGUUAAACACUUAACACAUGCAAUGACACAGCUUUGUUAAAAUAUUUUUUCUCAAUGCCUGUUAAAUAAGAACAACCAAUGUUUAUAAUGGAAUGGGAGGAAUUGGUGAAACAACAUAUUAAGCUGAAAUAGAUUAUUCCUUCUUGACAACAGUAUGAUUAGUAAGAACUCCAUUGUUUUGCAACAUAUGCAAUGUUCUGAGUCUCAGACGUUUUCCAGACAAUCAAAACAACUUUCAUUAAAAACUAAAUGUAAAUGAAUAAUAAUGCAAAAGCAUUGUUUCCCGGUGAGAGGUAGGAUGCAAUAGUUGAUUUAAAUUCAGAUCUUGAGCUGAAGUUUAAGUCAAGUACAUAGAAAAUGAGGCACAAGAAUCAGUAAGCAGAAGACGUGAAGCUGAAUGUGUAGUUAGGAUAAGCAAGUAACACCUUAGCUUCGUUUGAUCAAUGUGCAAAUUAUGAAUCAUGAAAGGAUAUAACUAAAAAUUAUUCAUUAUGGUGACAUGAUAAAUUGCACAAAGCUUUUAGAUACUAUAGCAACAUUAUUAGAACAAGUGAAAGAAAAGGUUGAAGAAAAAGGACAUUGAUGUCACUUUCUGUGCAAAGAAUUGUGUUUUAUUGGGUGAAGUGUUAUUUAUUCACUGCAGUAUUGUAUACAUUAAAAUUAGAGAGAGUUAUAUCACUGCAUAAUAUAAUAACAGUAAUAUUGGUGCAAUGCAAAAUCUCAACUGUCUAUCUAUCAAAGUAAAAGUUAAACUAAAUGGGUACAUUUUUUUCCACAAUGUAGUAUAACAAUAAAGUGCCAUUCUUGUUUUUUCAGAGCUUUGUUAAAGUGAACAAACAUAAACUCAUCUUUUCAUUUGGAAUUAUAUUGCCAAGACUAAUGAAUGUCUUAGCAGGUGUAUGAGCAAAUGAACCACCUGCAAUUAAUGUUUUCACAAAGACGAUUGCUCAAAAUCCAUAGAAACAUUACUCUAAAAGCUGGGUUCAAGUAUUCUUGAUUUUUUUUUUUAAAAGUCAAUAAAUAGUUCGACUAAUUAAAAUUGCAGCGUAUAAAACAAGUCUGAAAUACUUAAAUAACCCCCUGUUGAAGCUUCUUAAGCACAGAAAACGCUAUAAUAAAUAGCUUCCUUUGCAUCCUGUUUUAACAUGAUUGACAUUGUCUCUCACUGUGGCCAGUGCAUGAAUUAUUACAAUAAAAUUAUUCGACAACAGUUUUGGCCCCUAGAACAAAACAUUGAGUUACUGAUCAUGAUUUGCCCUUUAUACACAUUGGUAAUCCUAUUGUCUACAAAAGCUUAAUUACACAAAGAUAAACUCAUAAGCAUUAUCACCUCACUCAAAGACUUAAUUCAUGUGCUAUCAAGGCAAAAUUUGUGCACCGAGUCGUUUUCAUCUAUCCAUUCAUUCUUUUGAUUAAUUCCUUCUGUCAAAAACAAACCUUUGGAUGAGUGCCAAACAUCAAAUUAGGGUAUUCAUUAGACACAUCAAACAUAAAUUACUAUUCAAUUAACAAGCCAGUCGAGCUGAACUAAUCAACUAAUUAGGCCAUGUGUGUACACAGGAAAGCUAACAAAAGCACGAGUCCCCUGGGAAAGCAGUGAAACCCAGAAGAAGAAUGACAGCAAGGAUGAAAAGCUACUGGUUUGAGAGGGAAAAGGAGAAAGCCACUAGACACUUGGCGCACGGUUAAGCUGUUUAGCUCCUCUAAUCAUAAACUUUAUUGUGUUGAUGCAUUACUUUGAUCAGUUUCAAACUGCUAAGUCAAAUUGACUCGCAAAGCACAUAAAACGCACACACACACGCAGAAAAACUGUGCUUAACCCAACAUUAAGAUUUCAAAGAAAAUUGUCUGAUAAUGGGAACAGAUUACCUUUUCUUCUUAUUUUUAUACAAGUUCAGAGCAAAAAAAAAAUAAAAAUACUGCAUAAUUCCACAUAGUAAAAACAACAAGGUAAUGUCUUAUUGUUAUGACAGCGGUUCAAAUAUUAUCUGAUAGAGAAUGUUCAAAGAACUGGGAGAUUAUUCUAUUCUCUCUUUGUCAGAGCUUCUGUGUCAGAGAUGGUCUGUCUGUCUGUCCCAAACAUACCUUUGGUCCGAAGCAGCUCGAGCCGGCCAGGCUGUUCAAAUAUCGUCUUCACACACUGACCAGGCUGCAACCUAAGAGGGAAGCAAACAUACAAUAUGCAUGCGUUUAUACAGUGGAAAACAGCCCGACUAAUACUGUUAAUCAUUAUUGUACCAUUUGUUGGAGAAUAUA